rnacentral:tRNA from 1 species
ACCUGACUGACUCAGCCAGUAGAGUAUAUGACUUUUGAUCACAGAGUCAUGAGUUCAAACUCCACGUUGGGUG